AGUGAACGCUGGCGGUAGGCCUAACACAUGCCAGUCGAACGGCAGCACAGUAAGAGCUUGCUCUUACGGGUGGCGAGUGGCGGACGGGUGAGGAAUACAUCGGAAUCUACUUUUUCGUGGGGGAUAACGUAGGGAAACUUACGCUAAUACCGCAUACGACCUACGGGUGAAAGCAGGGGAUCUUCGGACCUUGCGCGAUUGAAUGAGCCGAUGUCGGAUUAGCUAGUUGGCGGGGUAAAGGCCCGCCAAGGCGACGAUCCGUAGCUGGUCUGAGAGGAUGAUCAGCCACACUGGAACUGAGACACGGUCCAGACUCCUACGGGAGGCAGCAGUGGGGAAUAUUGGACAAUGGGCGCAAGCCUGAUCCAGCCAUACCGCGUGGGUGAAGAAGGCCUUCGGGUUGUAAAGCCCUUUUGUUGGGAAAGAAAAGCAGCAGGUUAAUACCCCGCUGUUCUGACGGUACCCAAAGAAUAAGCACCGGCUAACUUCGU
rnacentral:rRNA from 1 species